CGUAGGUGAACUGCGGAAGGAUCAUUACCACACCAAMAAAAUAUCCACGUGAAUGUAUUCUUUAUUAGGUUUGUGCUGGUCAUCUCUCGGGAUGUCUGGCUAGCCGAAGGUUUCGCAAGAGACCGAUGUACUUUUAAUCCCUUUUAAAACAAUUAACUGAUAAACUUAGCCAUCAGAAAUGAUAGCUUGUAAUUAAAAUACAACUUUCAACAGUGGAUGUCUAGGCUCGCACAUCGAUGAAGAACGCUGCGAACUGCGAUACGUAAUGCGAAUUGCAGAAUUCAGUGAGUCAUCGAAAUUUUGAACGCAUAUUGCACUUUCGGGUUAGUCCUGGAAGUAUGUCUGUAUCAGUGUCCGUUAAUACAAACUUGUUUUAUUCUUUGGAGUGAAACAGAAUGUGAAGGUCUUGCUUCGGCAAGUCCUUUUAAAUGACGGUCCCUGUAUAGCGACGAGUGCAUUAUACAAAGGGCUAUAUGAUUCGGAUCUCGAAUGUUCUGUGUUGAUAUUGCACAGCUUUUGAAGGAAGAAUAAAUUGCGGUAGUUUUGCUUGUGUUUCGGCACAGGUGAACAACAUAUUGCUUUUUAUUUCGUCUGGAAGAGGUUGGUAGUAGAGGGCAGGAUGCGGGUUUUGAUAGUAUAGUCUGGUGUACUAAGAACUAUAUGGAAGCAAAUUGGGAAACAACAUCCAAUUUGGACCUGAUAUCAGACAAGACUACCCGCUGAAUUUAAGCAUAUCAAUAAGCGA
rnacentral:rRNA from 1 species